AUGGGUAUAGCUCAGUGGUAGAGCACAUGUUUAGCAUGUAUGCAGUCCUGUAUUCAAUCUCCAGUACCUUCA
rnacentral:tRNA from 1 species